UCGAUUGCCGCGUCGCCGACCAUCAACAGACUAAAAAUUACUACACGGACAUUAUGCGAGAGCCGGGGUACUAUGGUACCCCAUGUUUCCGCCAUAAGGUUCACACGUGCCUGUACACCUGGUACCAAAAUCUCAUACGAAGUAUUGCAGUGCUCAAGAAAUGUGUUCCUCUCUUUAAUAUAAAAUGUAUGUAAAAUAUUUGAUCAAAAGCAUGAUUUUUAGGGAGUGCCACCCUCAAUCAGUCUCUAUAGUGCAUUCAUUUUCAGAAAGAAUACUGUUUCCAGAAAACAUAUUUUAGAACAUUGACAGUGCUUUAACUCAGAUGAGAAUGUGUAUAGCUGCGUGCUUUUGUGGCUGCCAUUUUAUAUGAAAACAGUUUGCAUGAAGUUGACAAGCAUCCUUUCACGAGGCAUUGCUGUUAAAUGUAAGAUGUGAUUGAAGCAGCGGACUGGAAGAGGUUAAUGGAAGGAACUCACCAAUUGGCAGGAAGCUGACUUGGCAGCUGUUCCUCCCAACAUCACAGCCCUCCGCGACCACCCGCUCACCAAACGAGCUACCAGACGCGCACUUUUCUUGGACAUACGGUGCUUUGAUAGGAAUAUGUUGAAUCUCGGUAAAAUUGUUUGUCUACCAACACACAAAAGCACAAUUGCUGGCAGAAUGCCAGUGCACAUAAAAGCACAACAGCCGGCUGACUGCCAUCUAUCUCAGCGUACAGACAAUUUCACAAAGGCUACUGUGGGCGCAUUCCGCUUUGUAAGAAGUAUUACUUUGUCAAUGAGCCAUACUGAUGACGGUAUAAAAACACUUAUCAUCAAUUCUCAAUAGCAUGCUCAGAAUUCAAAGUUUGCUCUUCGUAAAUGUCCUUUUUAUGCCAAAAGGAAAACAUUAAAAUGGUGUUAGUUACUGUUGUUUCUUGGGGAACACUUAUUGAUACUCUGGGUCUCGUAAUAUCGGCUCAAAUUUGAGUGCGGCAAUUUUGCCACAAGGUCACACAAAUGUUGUGCCGUGUGUACAUUAUAAAAGCUGCUCGGUGGCUCUCGGUUCAAGGGGCUGAAAAGAGUAAAAGGUCAGGAACCAGCAGCGACUGUGAGACGCCAACAUGGGUGCCUGUUACGUCCACUAAUUGUGUCUACCUGUGCGCGCCGCGCACGGCCGUAACGCUAUCUCUGGGGCCGCAUUUCUCAUUUGCAUGUUAAAGCAUCCCUGAUCAAUAGCCCCAGCCAAGCUGUUGGGUUUACUUUACCUCGUUUCAGGAAGGCAGGAACAGCACUAAUAGGCCCGAAACCGCACGCCGAGGGCCACUAACUGCGCGUCAUCUUGCCGCACAGACAUGUCAUUAGUCUAAUGCCUGUCAAGGCGGCAAGUGCCCAUGCGCUCCUCAUCCUUUCACCAGGCUCUAAUAGGAAGUUCCGCACACUCUGCCGGUCGUGGUUUAGAGGCAUUCUUAGAAAUGCGUUGGCAAGAGAUAAAUCCUUUUGCUAACAAAUAUUUAAAGAUGGUCAGUGUUUUGUACAAAUUUAGCCCUAUUAGUUUCAUGGACUCACGGUAAUGCUGAGAUGCUGAUCAUAAAUAAUACAGUUUUCGCGAGUGGGGAAUUUAUUUGGUGCGGUGCAUGAAUUAUAUAUCACUCUUUUAACUCGGUUUAUUCAAAAAUAUCAAUGCACAUGUUAUAUUUAUCCACUUUUUGUUCCUCCCAGCCACUCCAUUUAAUUACAACAAAGGGAAAUGAUGGGGUGGCUGCUACACAGCAAUGAGUUUAAUUAAUACUGUGGGCACACAAAUCUCAUCGUGUGAAUGUGACAGAUAUUGCUACGGUACAGGCACAUCUUUGUUUUCAUUUGAUGCAGUAAUUUGAAAAUCAAACAAUGUCGCAAUCCCCGAAGUGUUUUGCCUAUAAAAGGAAUAAGAGUAUGGAAUUAAUGACCUUUCAGUGUUACACUUCAUGCAUUAGUAAAAUGUGCGUGCAGCUGGGACGCAAUCCAGCAACCUGGAGGACAGUAGCACUACCCAAGCUCACACUCUCGUUCUGUGCAUUACCCCACCGUGAGCCACUUAUGUCCGUAGCGUCCAUCUUCUCAAAUGUGUUUUAGGGUUUUAUUUUUUUUGUUUUCCCAUGCUGACAUUGGGUGUGUCGACAGUGGUGCUCACUCGUCAGUGUUUGGCGACAGCUUGGCAGGCUAAUCCAUGGUGCCAUGCUGUGUGGAGUGGCCCCAGCUGAAGGCGUAUGAGCAGACACUUCAUGGCAAACCAUCCCCUUCCCUGCUGUCUGCGUCGCCACCCCCACCUCCCCAUGUGCCACUUACCGACAGAGGCUGCAAGGAGGAGCUGCCUGCAAGGAACAAAUAAUGCCUGGAAAUUGAUUUAUUUGUUUUAGCAAACAAGGUAUUGUUCACAUAUUCUGUAAUAUCUACAAAUACACCAGGCAUGAGAUAUAGCUAUCGUUUAUACCAUCAGACAUAACAUUUUUAUUUUUCCAUUUAAUAAGACUGCUCAAGAAUGCACUUUCUGUGUAUGAUUGCAUACAUGACUGCUGUAAGGUUCAACACAAGUCUAACAUUAGGUGAGUGCAAUGACCAUUCACUUCACACAGCUGACAGGCAAAUCACUGAAGGGAAUGACAAAAAUGUGCUAUCUCCCAGGGUGAAUACUGGAGUUCCCAUGACAACAUUUUGCGAGCAUCAGGCCAUUGUGUGCCUGCUGGGUAGGCACACGAAUGUCGGGGAAUGUUUUCCUCACUGAAAUCACUGGGUGGCUGUGGCGAUCCAAAUUGUAAACUCGCUCGAAGAUGCGAGGCAGUCCAAAUGCCUUAAUACAGAACAAGAGGGGGUACUGGUCUUAGCUAAAGCAGUCCACGAUACAACUGAAAUAGAGUACACUGGUCAAGAAUCUAAACUUUAUUAAUAUCCUGCAUGGUAUUAAUGAGGCAUUAUCAGGUGGCAUCAUAUAUUAGCAAUUUGAAAUGAAUGGAAAUGAUCAAAUGAUCUGGUCCUUCAAUGAAGUGUGUGAAGUAUUUUAAAAUUAGCCACGGUCACUUUGUGCCACCUCAACAUUCUCUGUACAACAAUUUGUGAGACACAACCUGGGAGAGCCGGAGCACUUAAGCAUGAAUAUGCAAUGAGGUGACCCGGGGCAGCGCGCGGACGCUGUGAGGCUACUGUCCGUGCAGCUGCUGCGCUGAAUAUUCAUGGCGGUGUCGUGCACCCACGGCCCUGCCCCAACUGCCCCCCCUCCCUGGCCCUUCGCGUUCAGGGCCGCCUCACUGGGCCACCCGUGACCCCGCGUGCGUCUUGACAAGCUGCCGCGCCGAACAGCACUCAGCGCCGUGGGUCCACGCGGCCCCCCGUGGCCUGCACUGCUCGCCGCUAAAUCGAUCGACUGGAAUAUUAACACACUAAGCAGUUUUUUUUUUCUAUUAACGUGGCAUACGCGGAGUGUCCUCUGUGCCCGUGAUGUGCCAGGUAUCUGCUGGGUAUUGCAGAAGGACGUGCUCUUCAAGUGGCCGAGAAAAUGCACGGCGUGUCAAAAUGCUUUCAAGACUCGGAGGUAAUUUCAAAACAUGUUAACAUUUUGUCUUUUUUUCCUGCCAGGAAAUAAUCAAGGAUGUAAAGUGUAAGCAUCGCUUUGUAAUUUACACAACAAAAUACAAUAUCUUCGAUUGCAACCUUUCAGUUUACCUUGGGUACAAAGUAUGUACAUUGAUAUCAGGGAUUGACAUUUUGCUGAGACGAAUGCGAGUGUUAUAGCACAUCGUUGUUGAUGAUCUAGCACAAGAACAUUUUAAGCCAUCCUGUGUUGCUCUGUGCACAAAAAAGCUGAUAUUUUAUCUCCAUAUCAGCAGUUUCCCUUUGGCAAGUGCAAGUUUUUUCCAAAUAUUACAUAUUUGCCUCUAAACAUUGCAUUUUGAAUCCGUGCACUGCUACGGCUGACAUCACAACGUGAGUGGGCCGCCGUUUGUAAACAUUUCAAAGUUAACUAAAUGACAACUGCACUUCAAUUUUCAGCACCUUUCUAAUGCCGAGCAAUAUCAAGCAAUCUGCAAAUUAAGAUGCGGAGACACGUAAGGCAGAGUGUUCUGAUAAGGGCAUUUGCUUGGCUCCAGAUAACCAGGAAUCUGAUUCUGCUGGCGCAAAAGAUAUGACUUAACGUCCCUCAUUUCCUUGAAGGACAAUUAAACUGACAGCUUUACUGCUGCUGUAUUUUAUUGUGUUAAAAGACAAUCUGCUUCCAUCAAAUUAGCGCACGUGGCUGCUGCUGUAAUCGGACUGCGCCUCAUUGCCUGUUAUGGCACUUUCCUCAGAGCGGGACUCGCUGAGUUAAGGACCAUGAAGUGUCACUGUUAUGACACAGCGUGGUGCCGCUGGCCGGCGUCGCCACUCGCGGCCCUCCGGCAUCUACCGCGGCGCUUCACACACCGUGGACGAGCCACGUGCGCGUAGCUCACAGACACCGCACCUUGGGCACAUUUCACUUCGCGUGGCUGCACAGUUGAUUCGCAGCGAUUGCAUUUGCAUCAGUUGCGCACCGUGAGAACGUUUUUUGCACACAAACUUUCUACGUUACAAAAUGUUGAUUCUUUUUUUUUGGCUGCAUGUUCACACCAAUUUUGGCAUGCCACGUGUUUCUGUUAUUGACAUGAGUCAUUAGAACGCUGCCGCGAACAUGCGUUUAGCCGUCUCGCUUCGAGCUACGGUCACGCCGAGGUUGUGUGAGCUUGUCGUGGAGGUGCAGAGCCGUGAGGCCUAAAAGAAUCCUCUCUCGGUGGGCCCAUGUAAAUCACAAGGUGGAUGUGUCAGCCAGACCCAGUCAGGUCGGCUGACUCUGAGUUUAUAGAAAAAAUUAAUCAUCGCCAAUAAAGGAUAUUCAGCCAUGUUACCGCAUGUCCAUGGAUGAAAAAUUAACCAAUUAAACGUGGCUAUCACUUUCCUUUUUUUUUCUCUCUCUCUCUCACCUUUUUUAGUGUUCACUACCUUCGGUUCAAGUGCUAUAAAACAGCAGUUUAAGGAUAAGAAAUGUGAGAUGGUCAUGAAGGGAUUCAAUUUGGUCUAUGGACAUUUGUUCCUGGCUAUUUUUGUCAGACCUUUAUUCUCUCUCUUUCGGCGAGAAUUACUUGCCCAAGGCUUCUCAAAGUAUGAUUUACUCGUGUGUGCAGCUUGUCUGCGUGACUGAUUGCAUUUGCACAGGUCCCUCGCAAAAUCUGUUGGACUUGUUCUUUAAACAGUUUGCAAUUUUUGGUGGCAGGAUUUUCACAUCGGUCGCUGCUGUCACAUUGAUGGAUAAAGCUUUUUUUGUUUGUUGCCAGGGUUGAUGCAGAGUAUUCUUGCUUGGCCUGUAAAUGAUCAACUGGGAUUGGGGCAGCUAACAUGGGGAUCGACAAUAGUGAUCGUUGCUGAUGUUAAAUUGAGAUGGUAAUUGCUCUGCAGAUGUAUUGUUUUGGAUGAAGAGACAUUUAUGAGUAAAAUAUAUAAAUGAAUGAGAUGUUUGAUUUCUAUGUUACUCUGAAGUGUUGUAAAAUAAUAGUACGCUUUAACCAUUUUUUUCAAUACAAAUAUCAAUGUGUACAUUCCCCCAAUGCAUAUAAAUACUUGUUGGAAUAGCAGGACAUGAAUGCACAGAUUUACAUUAACACGCCUCAAAUAGAGUCGUGAGAAUAUGAAAUUGGCCGCUCGCCUGUUGAGUUCAUGGCAGGCGUUUUUAUUUUUUUUGCUAUUUUAUAUUCUGUUCAUUUUUUCUUUUAGGGUUGACUGCUCUGGUUGGGAAUAGUGCAUUGUCAUAGCCUGAUGCCACAAAGAAAAAGCGAAUUAAAAUUUACAAAAAAAAUCACAUUAGUGUGUGGCGAAAUGGCAGGCGCAGCCAUGGAGGUGUUGACAGGUAAUAGGUUCAGUGUGAGCGAGCUCAUCGGCACACAACGUUACGCAAGUAUGAAGAAUUGAUGUGCCGUUUCGUAGUGUCCUGGUGACUGUCUAGAGAAAUGUGUUAAAUUGAGCUGCUUUAAUUUUUUUUCUUUACAACUCAAUGUUCUGUGCGCCGCCAUGUGAGCUUCGCCACGUAUCGCGAUGUUAUCACGUUGUAUUAGCAAUGCAAAAUGCUCCGAAAUAAUACAGGUUGGGAACUUUUAACACGACAGUGCACGGCCCCUGCUCGCAAGGCGUGAUGGAUUUGUCAGCAAGUGUAAAGGUGUUUGGCGGCCGUGACUCGACUCGCUUCGCUCCAAAAUUCCAAAUUUGUGCAUCCCGUAGAGCCCGGAGUUGUUCACGCUGCCUCCUCAUCUCUCGUUUCGCUGUGCAUUUUGUGCGUCAUUAGUUAAUGGGGGAUUGUUGGCAGCGCUGACUGCACGGGAACACGCGGCUGUGUGCAGCAGUCAGAGCACACAGUGACGAGAUGUUAACUACUUCGCUUGGUAUACAGGAGGUCGUAGAUUCCAGCCCGACCCUAACACCUGUAUAUUCGGAGUUUGCAUGUUCUCCCCGUAGUCGCGUGGAUUUUCUGCAGGUCCUCCGGGGGUUUCCCUCCACAUUUAGAAACACGCGUUUCGAGUAUUUGGCUGCGAUGCAUUUCCACGUGAUAAACAACUUCGUUGGGCUAUCAUUUGGAGCCAGGCCACUUCUGAAAAUAGUUGUUAUAUAGCUCAGUGGGCCUUACCUGGUAAAAAAUAUAUAUAUAGUUUAGUCUUGACACUCGGGAAACAGCGUGCGCUUGAGGACCACAUGGUGCUGUGCAUCUGGGCUAACACAUGCGGCUUUGCACGUUUACAGCAAAUGUAAUCACACUACGGCGUUCGUGUUGCAUUGGUGUUUUAGAAAAGGAGCCGGUGUCUUUUUCUUUGGCGAUGAAUAAUUGGCAUGUCUCCGUUCAAAGCUAAACACGACAAAAAAACAUCUCAAUGAAUAAAAAAAGGUGAGCUACGAUCCUCUCGUAGGAUGACUCAAGGUCGAUACUGAUUACACAUUGAGAUUAGUCAUGCACUACCUAAACACAUGUUGUCCAACAGAUGGAAGAACAAUAAUUAUUAGUGGCCUUCUAAGUCUGCAGUUCCCAGAAAUCAGUAUUUAACUUCUUAGAACCUAUGCAUACUCUGCCAAUUCAGGCCGGAACAUCCUCAAUUGCUGUGUUCCGUGUUAUCAAUAUUUUCCUUUCGGCAGUGUGAAACUAGGCAGACUUGGCUUGCCUAGAAGUGCUUAGGGUUCAUCAGCAAGCAAUUUCACAGUGACUUGUCCAAUUGGAUGCCCGUGCUAGGAACCUCUAUGGUCAACAUGGGUCACGUCGAUGAGGCUACAGCCUGCUGAUGAGUACCUAGACCUGGUGACCACAAUGUAACUCUUUCCCCAUCAGUGGAAGCGGCUCCAUCGCUGUACCGCAUCUCUUUUUAAUUCCUUAGAGCAGCCACACAUGCUAAUCACAUCCGCUGCCUGUGUUAAUGUAAUUACUCGUACAUUUGUAAUUGACUUGAUAUCGCCAGCUUGCUUAAUUAAUAGUAAACCAGUCUGUAAUUGUAGUACCGUUUGCAGAACGUGUCCUAACGAGCAAAGGUCCAUAGAUGUGAGAUAAGUGAUUCACCAAACUCGCACGCACGGUGGCCACUGACAAGCGUGCCUCUCUCUUCGUGUUACAAGCUGCGGGACAUUACUUAAACCAACAUUUAUUCGUUUCCAGGAAGCUUAUUUACAUUUGGUUCAAUCACUGUUGUUUUGUAAUUGUGAGAUCGUACACAAGCGGCAUGUGAUGUAUCAGUCGUCCCACGGAGACUUGCGAUUGAGAAUCCAUCCCGACUCGGUUGAGUAAAGGAGCCUGGGUGCAACCUCUGAUUGCAGCGUAGAGUGGAGGGAGAACUCAGCUGGGAUUUUAGAGCAACAGGGGCAUGCGAGGGGUAUUCGUGUUGAGGACGGUUGUGCAGAAGAGAGAGACGGAGCGACGUGGCAUUUUGUGACUUGAGGUUAAGAUUGUUGAUAAUGCUCACCCGUCAUGCACUUCAUUCAAUAUAUUGCCAAUUCUUUCAAAGCAGUAAAUGGUCUUGGAAUUUACAUAAUCAUAAAUGCAAUACUGUGUUUUUCUCACAUUCAUCUUCUGCACAGCUUUUCAUAAUUUUAUUUUAAAUUAAGUUACUCCACGAUUUCCUUUGCUUCUUUUUCUUCUAAUCUAAUUUGGCAUAAAACACAUUCUAAUAUUGCUGUGAAUAACAUCUCCUUAUCCGACGCCAUUUCUAACGUGUGCGUUGUUGCCUUCUUCAUGCCGUCUCAAUAUAGCCGUUCCAGUUUUUGUCAACUUUUUUUUAUUGCAUAUAAAUACUUUCAACGCCUUGGUCGCGAGUGUUAAUGACUGCUUAAUUUUUAUCUUUUUCAGAAUCUGAUGUGUGCUCCAGUACUGUGUGGUCGACGGUAGAGACACUUAAUUAAACCCAUCAUCAUCAUACUCACGUGGUUCUUUGGCCUCCUCGUGUUCCAUCAUUACGUUCCAUUGAUAAUAAGAAUACUAACAAUAGGUUCGAUUUACAACGAACUUAUUUGUGUCCAACAAGUCGGCAACACAUGUCCGAGGCACGGGGCAAAGCCCCAAGCGUCGCUGGAGCGCUCUUCCACACAGACGAUGUGCCCUCUGCUGCCCCUUGAAGGCCGGAAGGAAUGUUAUGCCAUACACGAGAAGCGGAGACAAUGAUCUUCUUAAACAUUUUAAAUACAUGUCAUAUAACACGGUAAUGGGUCUGUCAUUCUUGAAGUCAGUCUUCGAGGCAUUUUUUUAAUAGAAUGAUUGAGGCGUUAUUCCACGACUGGUGUAUGUUAUGUUUGUAAACAUUUCGUAAAUAGAUCUGACUAGUCCCGCUUCUUUAAUGAUGUGCACAGUUAUACCACAUGAUAUAACUGUGAAUUGCAGUGAUUACUUCUUCAAGUCUGAUAUCUGAAACUUUCUCUUCGUCUCAUGGAUGGUUUGUACAACAACUUCAAUAAACAUUAAAAUACGUUUUGGAAGGACACAACUAUAAAACACGUCAGAGUAGGCAACUAUAUACCUCGAGAUGUUCUUGAAGGUGGGCUGUGACCAAAAUGACAAAUUAAAGAGUUAGAUGGGGGAAGGUUGUUAUAGUCCUGAACUUUGUAAUAAAAUGACAUGCCUAAGACGGCAUCCACCUCGAGUACGAAGAGAUGGAAUCGGCCCGGGUGCAGAAGCUACAUGGGUUGUUACAUUGUAUGUAUAUAUGUAUGCUGAACUUCCUUCGCACCAUACGUACCUAGCCUACCGUGCUAAUUGGAGCUGAAGUGGAAGACCAUGAAAGAUCGUGGCGACUUGGCUGAGGCCUUCAUUUUGCAGCGGAUUGAUAAUCGCUGCAUAUGCUGAUGGAGAAUCUAUAGUUCAACGUUAAUUAUAAAUCACGACUCAGUAUCUACUAAUUUCGUUUGCGGCGCUGCAAUAUGAGCGUGCUAUGAAAAAAAAAUGCGGCGAUAAAUCAGGGUAUGGGUGAGGUUUCCGUCAAGGGCCGAAUAUGUGAGCAGUGGCACGGUGGGUGGCAAGGAGAAGGAUAAGAAGGUGAGGCACUGCCAGCGCCGGGGAGGUUGGGAUGCGAGGGCAGUUGGGGAAGGGAAGCAUCUGUUUGGGAAGGACGCGUCUGCUCAGCGGUGCGCCGUAGAUUUAUUUCGCCAUUAAUGUUCACACGGUGAGGAGGCGCCCGCUCGUGGGCCUGAUUAAAUGAUGUGUGCCACGGAGACGCUCCGAGCCACUCAUCUCGGAAGGGCUGCUCGGAGAGCCCGGCUCCACGUGGGACACAGGCCGCUCGCUGGCACACAACCUCUACUGAGGACUUUAGCACACGUUCAAUCUCCUUUAGAGCUCAGGGUUUUGCAUAGCCACGUUUCUAAUAAUGUGCACGUUUGACUCUGCUAUACAGUGUAUUAGUCCAGCUCGAAGAUAUCAUCUUUGCACUGGAAUAGGACGUUUUACCACGUACUUUUGCCAUAUUUAUAGGAAGUAUUGCGCAUUGUACCGAUUGUUUUACCAUUCCGAUAAUGCUGCUCAUGUUUAAAGAUUGUACUUGGAGAAUAUAUUGCAUUUGUGCAGACAAGAAUGUGUGAGUUUGCAUGUGGAAAGUCCACGGCUCGUAAACUUUUCAUUGAUGAUUUUUCUUUUGUAAGAAGUGAUGAAUCCCACAAAUAAAGAGGACAUCGCUGAGAUGGUUAGUUAUAAACAGAAGGCCGAGUAAGCAGCCACCAUCUGUCAUUCCCCCAAACAAGACUCUCAGCCAAACGGGCAGCCAUCAAUCCAAUUGGACGGGUUAAACGUAAAUGAGCGGCUUUAGAAGAUUUAUUGACCAUGGGUGGCACCAUGCAAAUGCAGCCACUCACGAAACCAGAUGAGAGAUUCUUUGAAAGUGUGUGACGUUGUACCCGCCGCAUCUGUCCCAGACACCGCGGACUGCAUUAGCCAUACCAUUAGCCGCCGAUUGCACUUACUGCAGCGUGAAGUCUCUGGUAAUGCUUUUUAAAUCUGCUCCCAUCCAUUUAUCGUAGAACAGAACUAAUGAAGUCAUAUGCUGAGGCGUACGCACGCGCGAGUGUGAUGUAAUUCCUCUUUCACCGCUAAUGAUCUGAGGUGGAUCAGCACAGCGGUAAUUUACCGAAUCCUACGGCAGGUCAGUGCGCCAGAUGUUGCGAACAUAUGCGGGGAAUUAAUUACACCCUUGUAAACAAAAACUCAGUGUGAAGGCUGCGAAUCGCGGUGCAAUGACUCCCUUGCACGUCCGUGUAGGUCACAGUGCUCGGUUGCUGUCACCGAGAGCCCUCGGUGACGAUCACAGCUCAAGGACUCCUCCACCUGGACUCGUGGAACUCUGCGCGUCGCCGGUCUUCACCGCUCUGUGCUGUCGACAGAGCUCGCGAGGACGUUCCCUCCCAGGCGUGUCUUGGGAAGACGCGCCCCAAAACUGCGCGCACAGAGUGUGCGGAGAUGGGGAGCGAAGCAUCACUGUUGCAAGAGCAAGUUUGGUCCAUUUCGUCGGCACACAAGGGAGUAAUAUCUGUCGGAAAGCCUGCACUUUGUACAUACUGUGCUUACUCUUUGGUUCAAUUCGGUAAAGUCACGUAGAUAGAGAAAUAAAGUAUUAUUUUUUGUUUUGUUUUAUUUUUCUACCCACGUGACUUUACCGAAAGAACCAAAGAGUAUGGAUUCCUGCAGUCAUGGAAGCUUCAAAUCAAGAUACUGUGCUUAGUUAAAAUAGCGUCUGCUCGAUGCUAGUGUCCGGGUAUUAGUAAGGGUGUGGUGAGGCCAAAGUUGAAGAUUGCCCUCAAAAGUAUACAAUGGGACGCAUAGCAAUCAUCGCCCCCUACUGGCAGACUAAUAUCCCAGGUCACUCUGAUCUGUUGAGUUUUCAGAUGGGUAAACUAAAUAAACUUGAACUCCUUUGAGGCCUGUGCCCUCCACCUCGUGCCUCCGCACAAAAUGACGCUACUCUAUCAGCACUGUAAUUGACGCAUCCAUAAGCGCAUUCUGAAGUUCAAAGCUGCUGCAUUUCGGUAGGUAAUAGAUAACAGGCUAUUGCUCUAUCACCGCGUAGCUACAUUUCCGAGACCUGAUUCUGAAAAGUCUAAUCAGUAUUCUAGCUUUUCCCAAUAGACAAUAUUCCAGAUGCGUGCAAACAGCACUCAGUGAACUCCACUCCAUUGUUUUUGUCAAAAGCGUGGCCGUACUCGUAUCUAGAUGGUUAAUGUAGGGAAAAUACCACGGUGCUUUUUUAAAUGUGCCAUCACGGGAUACUGUGAUUGUUGCACCAUUAAUAAGACCCCACUAUGGAAAUUAAAUGGACAGUGGUGCGUGUCUAUUUUUUUUCUAGGAGAUUGUCCAAUGGCCAAGUUUCACCUUCCAAUACCGCAGGGAUUAAUUGCAAAAACGAUAACUCCGCUCACCUGAUCACAUGAAGGUGACUGCGUGUGGGAGAGAGUUCAUAGUUUCAUUUCAUUUAUAGUUUCAUUUAUUUGGUA